rnacentral:lncRNA from 13 species
CUACAAAGUGUUUGUGCUGCAGUAGGCUGGGCAGUUAUCAUCAAUGGUCUUGGACUCAACCUUCUUGGACUCCCAUGAGUAAUAUUAGCACUGGGAUCCAAACUGACAGCACAAAAUGAACUAUGACAUGGAGUUGGAUGAAUUGUAGUUGUGUUGCCAGGGUGAUGGGCUGUGCACAGGAACACGCACUCCACGCAGGUCUCAGUGAGCACACUGGGUCUGAGCGGACAAGGACAGGCUGACUUACGGUCUCUGUUCUGCUUGUGCUGCUUGAGCAGAGACUCCCUUUCUCCCUCAGCACCACUCUUUAACUUCAGUUCCUGUCAUCACACAUUAGGAUGAAGAUGUGUGAUGGAUCUACCCAAGCAAGGCACUGUAGAACAUGUCGCACUGUUCUGCCACUGAGCAGAUGAGAAGCUGGGUAUUCAUCCACCACUGUCCAACUGUCAUUGACUGAAUGCUGUUUCCAGAAGGACUCACUCUCUUACUUUGCAUGGCUUUUUUCAGGAUCUUCUGUGAGCUCAGCUUCUCCGGCUGGAAGUGCCAGGGAAUUACAUCACCAUAUUCCUUCUUUUGCUGGCGCUGCUGGGGCUUGGAUGAAUCUGGAAACCAUCAUUCUCAGCAAACUAACACAAGAACAGAAAGCCAAACACCAAAUGUUCUCACUCAUAGGUGGGUGUUGAACAACGAGAACACGUGGACUCAAGAGAGGAGCAUCACACACUGGGGGCAGUUGAGGAAGGUACUCUCUUUGCACUUUCAGUGCCUGGAUGCAGGAGGUAACUCCCUGGUGAGGAAGACCUAAGUAUAUGGUCAUGGAUUCAUAAGGAGAAUGGAAGAGAAAAAUGCUUUUAAACAUGAUAAAUUUGAGAAAAUCUUUCAGGGAAGAUGCUCUGAGUUUUUUUGUUUGUGUUGUUUUUGUUUCUGUGUCUGGUAAAAUGAUUCCCCUCCCUGACCCAUGAUUACUUUAAACAACUUAAUGUGCCAGCCAGGCAAGGUGGUGCAUGACUAUAGAUUCAGCUAUUCCAGAGGCUGAAUCAGGAGGAUCACUUGAGCCCAGCAAUUUGAGGGUACAGUGAGCUUUGAUCUCAACACUGCCCCGCUCAGCCCAUGAAACAUUACAAACGCCAUUCUAAAAUGACCAGAAAUGUACUUACAGCAGGUUUUAUUCAGUCUAAAAAAACUGCCAAGUACGUUUCACUAUUGAUGAUACUAUAAUGUUUUUAAAAGGUAAGUACCACGUAGAAUAGUAAUAAGUUCCGUCUUUUCAAAAUUACGUAAAAUCCCAGAAAUAUGCUUUCCUCCAAAUAAAUGAGCCUAGAAAAGCUUUGGGUGACUGACC